rnacentral:tRNA from 1 species
GCUUCGAUAGCUCCAAUGGUAGAGCGGCUGACUUGUAAUCAGCAUGUUGUGAGUUCGAAUCUCACUCGAAGCUCCA